rnacentral:rRNA from 1 species
UAGGGAAUCUUCGGCAAUGGGGGGAACCCUGACCGAGCAACGCCGCGUGAGUGAAGAAGGUUUUCGGAUCGUAAAGCUCUGUUGUUAAGGAAGAACGAGUGUGAGAAUGGAAAGUUCAUGCUGUGACGGUACUUAACCAGAAAGGGACGGCUAACUACGUGCCAGCAGCCGCGGUAAUACGUAGGUCCCGAGCGUUGUCCGGAUUUAUUGGGCGUAAAGCGAGCGCAGGCGGUUAGAAAAGUCUGAAGUGAAAGGCAGUGGCUCAACCAUUGUAGGCUUUGGAAACUGUUUAACUUGAGUGCAGAAGGGGAGAGUGGAAUUCCAUGUGUAGCGGUGAAAUGCGUAGAUAUAUGGAGGAACAACGGUGGCGAAAGCGGCUCUCUGGUCUGUAACUGACGCUGAGGCUCGAAAGCGUGGGGAGCGAACAGG